rnacentral:rRNA from 1 species
ACACUGACGUCGCGACGCAUAUCAAUAAGCGGAGGAAAAGAAACUAACUAGGAUUCCCUUAGUAACGGCGAGUGAAGCGGGAAGAGCUCAAAUUUGAAAUCUUCAAGGUUCUACCUUGACGAAUUGUAGUUUAUAGAAGUGUUUUCUGUUAGUAGAGUGGCAAAAGUUCUUUGGAAUAGGACAUCAUAGAGGGUGAGAAUCCCGUAUUUGGUCAUUCCUCUCUAGCUUUGUGAUACACUUUCAACGAGUCGGAUUGUUUGGGAAUGCAGUCCAAAAUGGGUGGUAAAUUUCAUCUAAAGCUAAAUAUUGGCGAGAGACCGAUAGCGAACAAGUACCGUGAGGGAAAGAUGAGAAGAACUUUGAAAAGAGAGUUAAACAGUACGUGAAAUUGUCAAAAGGGAAGCGUUUGACACCAGUGUUGUUUUUCUGAAAAUCAAUUAAAGAACUGUUUAUGCUAAGUUGUUUAGACUUUAUCAGCUAACUGUUUAGUUUUGAGCUUUUCUUUAAUGCACUUUUCAGUUAACAAGUCAACAUCAAUUUCUUUUGCUGUAAAAAAGCUUGAGGAAGGUGGCUUGAGAUUCGUCUUAAGUGUUUAUAGCCUCUUGCCUAUGCAGUCGGAGAGAUUGAGGUCUGCAGCGUAGAUCCUUCGGGGCUAAAUGCAUUUGUGCUAAGUUAUAGCAUUUUAUAGACAACUUGUUGACUAUGAUUUGUCUUGUAGCUUACUCGCUUAUGCUAUUUUACCUACGCUUAGGAUGUUGACGCAUGAGAUAUACGC